rnacentral:tRNA from 1 species
GGUGACAUGGCCGAGCGGUCUAAGGCGCCAGAAUCAGGAUCACACCCGUUAGCAUCCCAUCUGGUCCUCCGGGGCGUGAGUUCGAAUCUCACUGUCAUCA